rnacentral:rRNA from 1 species
GACGAACGCUGGCGGCGUGCUUAACACAUGCAAGUCGAACGGAAAGGCCCUGCUUGCAGGGUACUCGAGUGGCGAACGGGUGAGUAACACGUGGGUGAUCUGCCCUGCACUUCGGGAUAAGCCUGGGAAACUGGGUCUAAUACCGGAUAGGAGCCAUUUUUAGUGUGAUGGUUGGAAAGUUUUUUCGGUGUAGGAUGAGCUCGCGGCCUAUCAGCUUGUUGGUGGGGUAAUGGCCUACCAAGGCGGCGACGGGUAGCCGGCCUGAGAGGGUGGACGGCCACAUUGGGGCUGAGAUACGGCCCAGACUCCUACGGGAGGCAGCAGUGGGGAAUAUUGCACAAUGGGCGCGAGCCUGAUGCAGCGACGCCGCGUGGGGGAUGACGGCCUUCGGGUUGUAAACUCCUUUCGCUAGGGACGAAGCUUUUUGUGACGGUACCUAGAUAAGAAGCACCGGCUAACUACGUG